AUGAACGCUGGCGGCGUGCCUAAUCCAUGCAAGUCGAGCGAACGGACGAGAAGCUUGCUUCUCUGAUGUUAGCGGCGGACGGGUGAGUAACACGUGGAUAACCUACCUAUAAGACUGGGAUAACUUCGGGAAACCGUAGCUAAUACCGGAUAAUAUUUUGAACCGCAUGGUUCAAAAGUGAAAGACGGUCUUGCUGUCACUUAUAGAUGGAUCCGCGCUGCAUUAGCUAGUUGGUAAGGUAACGGCUUACCAAGGCAACGAUGCAUAGCCGACCUGAGAGGGUGAUCGGCCACACUGGAACUGAGACACGGUCCAGACUCCUACGGGAGGCAGCAGUAGGGAAUCUUCCGCAAUGGGCGAAAGCCUGACGGAGCAACGCCGCGUGAGUGAUGAAGGUCUUCGGAUCGUAAAACUCUGUUAUUAGGGAAGAACAUAUGUGUAAGAAACUGUGCACAUCUUGACGGUACCUAAUCAGAAAGCCACGGCUAACUACGUG
rnacentral:rRNA from 1 species